AUGGAGCACGGUUCGGUGGCGGAUUCCAGCGCGUCGACCUUCUCCGUCAUGGAGGAGGAUCACACCCUCGCCAACUCCGUCAGAUUUGUACUCAACCAGGACCCAAGGGUAGCAUUUUGUGGAUAUAGCAUCCCUCAUCCUGCUGAUAACAAAGUCAACAUAAGAGUUCAGACUACAGGAGAUCAAGCAAAGGAUGUAAUGAAAGAUGCUUUACAGGACUUGAUGGUGAUGGGCCAGCAUGUUAGAGGGACUUUUGACAAAGCAGUGGCUGAUUUUAAAUCAAAGAUGCCUGCAGAACAAAUGGAUGUUGAUUUGAAUCAGCAAUGA
rnacentral:rRNA from 1 species